UACGUAGGGCGCAAGCGUUGUCCGGAAUUAUUGGGCGUAAAGAGCUCGUAGGCGGCUUGUCACGUCGGGUGUGAAAGCCCGGGGCUUAACCCCGGGUCUGCAUUCGAUACGGGCUAGCUAGAGUGUGGUAGGGGAGAUCGGAAUUCCUGGUGUAGCGGUGAAAAUGCGCAGAUAUCAGGAGGAACACCGGUGGCGAAGGCGGAUCUCUGGGCCAUUACUGACGCUGAGGAGCGAAAGCGUGGGGGAGCGAACAGG
rnacentral:rRNA from 1 species